rnacentral:rRNA from 1 species
CAGCACCUCAAGUGGUCAGGAUGAUUAUUGGGCCUAAAGCAUCCGUAGCCGGCUCUGUAAGUUUUCGGUUAAAUCUGUACGCUCAGCGUACAGGCUGCCGGGAAUACUGCAGAGCUAGGGAGUGGGAGAGGUAGACGGUACUCGGUAGGAAGGGGUAAAAUCCUUUGAUCUAUUGAUGACCACCUGUGGCGAAGGCGGUCUACCAGAACACGUCCGACGGUGAGGGAUGAAAGCUGGGGGAGCAAACCGGAUUAGAGACCCGAGUAGUCC